rnacentral:rRNA from 1 species
AAGAUAUGACGGUACUUGAGGAAUAAGCCACGGCUAAUUCCGUGCCAGCAGCCGCGGUAAUACGGGAGUGGCAAGCGUUAUCCGGAAUUAUUGGGCGUAAAGCGUCCGCAGGCGGCCCUUCAAGUCUGCUGUUAAAACGUGGAGCUUAACUCCAUCAUGGCAGUGGAAACUGAAAGGCUUGAGUAUGGUAGGGGCAGAGGGAAUUCCCGGUGUAGCGGUGAAAUGCGUAGAUAUCGGGAAGAACACCAGUGGCGAAGGCGCUCUGCUGGGCCAUUACUGACGCUCAUGGACGAAAGCCAGGGGAGCGAAAGGGAUUAGAUACCCCUGUAGUCCUGGCCGUAAACGAUGAACACUAGGUGUCGGGGGAAUCGACCCCUUCGGUGUCGUAGCUAACGCGUUAAGUGUUCCGCCUGGGGAGUACGCACGCAAGUGUGAAACUCAAAGGAAUUGACGGGGGCCCGCACAAGCGGUGGAGUAUGUGGUUUAAUUCGAUGCAACGCGAAGAACCUUACCAGGGUUUGACAUCCUGCGAACCUCUUAGAAAUUUGAGGGUGCCUUCGGGAAUGCAGUGACAGGUGGUGCAUGGCUGUCGUCAGCUCGUGUCGUGAGAUGUUGGGUUAAGUCCCGCAACGAGCGCAACCCACGUUUUUAGUUGCCAGCAUUUAGUUGGGCACUCUAGAAAGACCGCCGGUGAUAAACCGGAGGAAGGUGUGGAUGACGUCAAGUCAUCAUGCCCCUUACACCCUGGGCUACACACGUACUACAAUGCUACGGACAAAGGGCAGCAAACUCGCGAGAGCUAGCAAAUCCCAUAAACCGUGGCUCAGUUCAGAUCGUAGGCUGCAACUCGCCU